rnacentral:rRNA from 1 species
GAUGAACGCUGGCGGCGUGCUUAACACAUGCAAGUCGAACGGAAAGGCCCUGCUUUUGUUGGGUGCUCGAGUGGCGAACGGGUGUGUAACACGUGAGUAACCUGCCCUUGACUUUGGGAUAACUCCAGGAAACUGGGGCUAAUACCGGAUAGGAGCUCCUGCUGCAUGGUGGGGGUUGGAAAGCUUCGGCGGUUGGGGAUGGACUCGCGGGUUAUCAGCUUGUUGGUGGGGUAGUGGCUUACCAAGGCUUUGACGGGUAGCCGGCCUGAGAGGGUGACCGGCCACAAUGGGACUGAGAGACGGACCAGACUCCUACGGGAGGCAGCAGGGGGGAAUAUUGCGCAGUAGGCGGAAGCCUGAUGCGACAACGCCGCGUGCGGAAUGACGGCCUUCGGGUUGUAAACCGCUUUGGCCGGUGACGAAGCGUGAGUGACGGUAAUGGGUAAAGAAGCACCGGCUAACUACGUG